CAACCUGCCGACAACACUGGGAUAGCCUUUCGAAAGAAAGAUUAAUACCGGAUGGUAUAGUUUUCCCGCAUGGGAUGAUUAUUAAAGAAUUUCGGUUGUCGAUGGGGAUGCGUUCCAUUAGGCAGUUGGCGGGGUAACGGCCCACCAAACCUACGAUGGAUAGGGGUUCUGAGAGGAAGGUCCCCCACAUUGGAACUGAGACACGGUCCAAACUCCUACGGGAGGCAGCAGUGAGGAAUAUUGGUCAAUGGACGAGAGUCUGAACCAGCCAAGUAGCGUGAAGGAUGACUGCCCUAUGGGUUGUAAACUUCUUUUAUACGGGAAUAAAGUGAGCCACGUGUGGCUUUUUGUAUGUACCGUAUGAAUAAGGAUCGGCUAACUCCGUGCCAGCAGCCGCGGUAAUACGGAGGAUCCGAGCGUUAUCCGGAUUUAUUGGGUUUAAAGGGAGCGUAGGCGGGUUGUUAAGUCAGUUGUGAAAGUUUGCGGCUCAACCGUAAAAUUGCAGUUGAUACUGGCGACCUUGAGUGCAACAGANGUAGGCGGAAUUCGUGGUGUAGCGGUGAAAUGCUUAGAUAUCACGAAGAACUCCGAUUG
rnacentral:rRNA from 1 species